UUCCUUUGAAGAAGGGCGAAGUGACGUCACUGACUGACGUGUCAUUCCUGCCCAGAAUUUGAUGCAUUUAACUACCGAAGAAAUUAGUCUCAAUCAUCCGACUCCUAGUCCCAGCUGUCGCCAUUUAUUUGCUAGGUCGAAUUCCGUCUAAACAAUACAGAAUGCGACAAUAUGAAGACUCGACGCUUCAGCAGAGUAAAAAACACGGCGCUGAUCCAGACACCGAAUCCGGAGGAACGCACGGAUAGGAAAAAUAAUCUGCAACCUCGAAAAGAAUUCUUAAAGAAAUUAACUGCGCGGUUCAGGCGCGUAAAACUAUCGCUAAAAAAUUGAAGAAAACAAGAAAAACUAGAGCGACUUGAUGGUAGAAAGAUCAGACUAUGCAAAUGUUUCAUAUCGCAAGCUUAAUUUUGAGUGUUUUCAAAUAAUAAAAUGCAAACACUCAUUGUGCCUCGCCCAGCUGACUUCAUUUUGUUAUAAUUUUAACGCAUUUCCAGUCUAAUCUGAAUGUGAUGUUUAUUAGUCUUUUGUAUAUUAUUGUUUGUGUGAUAUAGAAUUGGAUAUUCUGAACAGCUCUCGAUAUGACCUCGUGUUAUUUAAAAAAAUUAAUAAUUAUUGAUGCCAUUUGUUUUGAAAGUUCUUUAUUUUCUUUUUCCUUUUUAGGAAAUGUAACUUGUGAAAUGAGUUUAUGUAUUUGGACCGUUGUUUAAUUUCAUAAUAUUGUAUUUGAUGUUUCUGUGGAGAAUGGUCAAUAAAAUAUCUAUCUAAUCAAUGCUAGAAAAACAUUGUAUUUUUCUUGAGUCUUGUUUAAUAAAUCUCAAUACAGAAAAUAUAUCUUUACACGAUGUACUAUAUGCAAAGGUGAAAAUAUAUAUGCAAUUUC